GAUGAACGCUAGCGGCAGGCCUAAUACAUGCAAGUCGAACGGGAUCCAGAUCAAAGCUUGCUUUGGUUUGGUGAGAGUGGCGUACGGGUGCGUAACGCGUGAGCAACCUACCCUUGUCAGGGGGAUAGCCCGGCGAAAGUCGGAUUAAUACCGCAUGACAUCAUUGAGAGGCAUCUUUCGAUGAUCAAAGAUUUAUCGGACAAGGAUGGGCUCGCGUGACAUUAGCUAGUUGGUAAGGUAACGGCUUACCAAGGCUACGAUGUCUAGGGGCUCUGAGAGGAGAAUCCCCCACACUGGUACUGAGACACGGACCAGACUCCUACGGGAGGCAGCAGUAAGGAAUAUUGAUCAAUGGACGGAAGUCUGAACCAGCCAUGCCGCGUGCAGGAAGACGGCCCUAUGGGUUGUAAACUGCUUUUAUACGGGAACAAACGUCGGUACGUGUACCGGUCUGAGUGUACCGUAAGAAUAAGGAUCGGCUAACUCCGUG
rnacentral:rRNA from 1 species